CCAAACUUGGUCAUUUAGAGGAAGUAAAAGUCGUAACAAGGUCUCCGUAGGUGAACCUGCGGAGGGAUCAUUACCAGAGAUGGCGGGCUCCGGCCCCCGUCCCCAACCCUGUGCCGAUCCAAAACCUUUUUGCCUCGGGGGUGGGGUGGCCUCGGCCGCCGCCCCCGGAGGACCGCCGAACGCCGUCUCUCUGCGUCGGAGUCUAACGAUAAAUGAAUAAAAACUUUCAACAACGGAUCUCUUGGUUCUGGCAUCGAUGAAGAACGCAGC
rnacentral:misc_RNA from 1 species